AGGCAGCUGCUUAACAGUUGUAUGCAUUGGAAACUAUUAAUCUAGAGUGUGGUAGGGAGUUUUGGAAUUUCAUGUGGAGCGGUGAAAUGCGUAGAUAUAUGAAGGAACACCAGUGGCGAAGGCGAAAACUUAGGCCAUUACUGACGCUUAGGCUUGAAAGUGUGGGGAGCAAAUAGGAUUAGAUACCCUAGUAGUCCACACCGUAAACGAUAGAUACUAGCUGUCGGGGCGAUCCCCUCGGUAGUGAAGUU
rnacentral:rRNA from 1 species